UUUGUCACGCUCAUAUCUCGGCAUUCUUCAAAAUUUUCGUUUUAAUACGACAUUGAUUUUGUAGCAUGUAAUUUUCGAUAUUAUUUUCAAUACAACGUACAAAUAUAAUUGUACGUUGUAUAAAGUUGCUGUUAUGCUAAAAAUAGUUAAUACAAUAUGACUGAAAGAAAAAGAAAUAAUCAAUGCGAUUUAUGCGCCCUUAGCAUACCACCCCCGAUAUUGCUAACUGUUCGAGCCUUAAGAUUAAUUAGAAAAGUAGUGUAUUAAUUGCAAUGAAGUAAAAUGGCUCCCGAAUUCCCCCCUAAAUCAGGAGUGUGCAGCCACUUCGACCUGGUAGAGAUCGUAUUCAUUUGCGUUGCGUUCACAUUCUUGCUGAUAGUUCUGACGCAGGCCUGCCGUAUCAUUGCAUCUGGUUUCAUGAACAUAACCAUGUGACGUCACACGCCAUGGGAGCAGAAAAUAUAAAUACGAGGAAAUGUUGCAGUAUGCUUCAACCCGGUGAGAUGUGGGUGGCCCUUCAAACGUCUUUUAAUACCAUUGAGUCUCAAUUUAGUCCUGCUUGUUACUGACAAUCCUAAAUAGUAUUAAAGAUAACAAUAU